rnacentral:antisense_RNA from 1 species
UUUCAUGGUGGGCUGUGCGCGGGGCGCCUUCGGGUGCGCCGGGUGCCUGACAUCCCGGUUGACCAACCUGCGUACCGCCCGCCACCUCU